UUGAACACGAUGACGGAAAAGAGUACGUUAUACUGAUUGUGUUAAGAGAGAGGUUUCAUGGCUGAAAAAACCUUCACGAUUGAUAACGGAAAGCUAUUCCAGAGUGCAGUUAAUCCCUGCCGUUCACUACGUUAUAGUGCUAAGAGAUAAAAAGUGUUGCUUGAUACUUUUUAUAAAUUAGGGUGGUACCACGAAAACGAAUUGACAGUUCUCGUCCCUUUC
rnacentral:ncRNA from 1 species